CGUUUGACGUUAGCUGCAGAAGAAGCACCGGCUAACUCCGUGCCAGCAGCCGCGGUAAUACGGAGGGUGCGAGCGUUAAUCGGAAUUACUGGGCGUAAAGACGCAUGCAGGUGGUUUGUUAAGUCAGAUGUGAAAGACCCGGGGCGUCAACCUCGGAAUAGCAUUUGAAACUGGCAGACUAGAGUACUGUAGAGGGGGGUAGGAAGUUUCAGGUGUAGCGGUGAAAUGCGUAGAGAUCUGAAGGAAUACCGGUGGCGAAGGCGGCCCCCUCGGACAGAUACUGACACUCAGAUGCGAAAGCGUGGGGAGCAAACAGGAUUAGAUACCCUGGUAG
rnacentral:rRNA from 1 species